rnacentral:rRNA from 1 species
UCUUCCGCAAUGGGCGAAAGCCUGACGGAGCAACACUGCAUGGAGGAUGAAGGGCUCCGCUCCCGCAAACUCCUUUUUUGAGGGAAGAAUUCUGACGGUACCUUAGGAAUAAGCACCGGCUAACUCUGUGCCAGCAGCCGCGGUAAGACAGAGGGUGCAAGCGUUAUCCGGAAUCAUUGGGCGUAAAGCGUGUGUAGGCGGGACUUUGCGUCGCGGAUUAAAUUUCCCAGCUCAACUGGGAAUCUGUUCGCGAUACGGAAGUCCUUGGAAGUAUGCAGAGGCAAGUGGAAUUCUGUGUAUAGGGGUAAAAUCCGUAGAUACACGGAGGAACACCGAAAGCGAAAGCAGCUUGCUGGGCAUAACUUGACGCGAGACACGAAA